rnacentral:lncRNA from 1 species
CCCCCUCUUCCCGUGCACAGUGCGGGGCGAGGCUUGGCGAGCGGUGGGUCUGCGCCUUCCCAAGAAGAGACUGGGGCAGCAUGAAUGUGCUGGAAGAUUAGAGGCUGCUGAUGCUGAAGGAAGGAGAAAUGAGGAGGAAGUGUCCCUGUGGACAAGUCAUCUCCCUUCAUUUAAGCCAGGCCAGUAGUCCGGGAGACAUUCUGAAUGAUGCAUUAUCCUAGGCACCAGAAAGUAGCUAACAUUCUCAUGGACAGCAGGGAAAAAUGAGCACAUGAGACAGGGGAAGAUUCCAGCACCUGUGAACAUGUUUGUGCAGGUUUCCAGUCAGUACAUGGAUAUCCCUCAAGCCUUUGAAUCCA